AGUGAACGCUGGCGGUAGGCCUAACACAUGCAAGUCGAACGGCAGCACAGGAGAGCUUGCUCUCUGGGUGGCGAGUGGCGGACGGGUGAGGAAUACAUCGGAAUCUACUUUUUCGUGGGGGAUAACGUAGGGAAACUUACGCUAAUACCGCAUACGACCUACGGGUGAAAGCAGGGGACCUUCGGGCCUUGCGCGAUUGAAUGAGCCGAUGUCGGAUUAGAUAGUUGGCGGGGUAAAGGCCCACCAAGGCGACGCUCCGUCGCUGGUCUGAGGGGAUGAUCAGUCACACUGGAACUGAGACAAGGUACAGACUCCUACGGGAGGCAGCAGUGGGGAAUAUUGGACAAUGGGCGCAAGCCUGAUCCAGCCAUACCGCGUGGGUGAAGAAGGCCUUCGGGUUGUAAAGCCCUUUUGUUGGGAAAGAAAUCCAGCUGGCUAAUACCCGGUCGAGAUGACGGUACCCAAAGAAUAAGCACCGGCUAACUUCGUGCCAGCCGCCGCCGUAA
rnacentral:rRNA from 1 species